rnacentral:rRNA from 1 species
UACGUAGGGUGCGAGCGUUAAUCGGAAUUACUGGGCGUAAAGGGCGCGUAGGUGGCGGCCCAAGUCCAUGGUGAAAGCUCGCCGCUUAACGGCGAGUCGGCCACGGAUACUGGGUUGCUCGAGCACUGUAGGGGCAGAUGGAAUUCCGGGUGUAGCGGUGGAAUGCGUAGAGAUCCGGAAGAACACCAGUGGCGAAGGCGGUCUGCUGGGCAGUUGCUGACACUGAUGCGCGACAGCGUGGGGAGCAAACAGG